rnacentral:tRNA from 1 species
GGCGGCGUAGCCAAGUGGUCUAAGGCGACGGUUUGCAAAACCGUUAUGCGUCGGUUCGAAUCCGACCGCCGCCU